rnacentral:misc_RNA from 1 species
GAUGAAGAACGCAGCGAAAUGCGAUAAGUAAUGUGAAUUGCAGAAUUCAGUGAAUCAUCGAAUCUUUGAACGCACCUUGCGCUCUUUGGUAUUCCGAAGAGCAUGCCUGUUUGAGUGUCAUGAAAAUAUCAACCUUGACUUGGGUUUUGUGCUCUAGUCUCGGCUUGGAAUUGGGUGCUUGCCGCUUUUACGAGCGGCUCACCUUAAAUGUAUUAGCUGGAUCUGUCUUUGAGACUUGGUUUGACUUGGCGUAAUAAGUAUUUCGCUAAGGACAUUCUUCGGAGUGGCCUCGUUUCUAGGACGCUUGUCCACUUUCCAAUACAAGUUCCACCUCGUGGACAUGACUUUUUAUUAUCUGGCCUCAAAUCAGGUAGGACUACCCGCUGAACUUAAGCAUAUCAAUAAGCGGAGGA